UUCCCCUACGGGGGACAAAGUGAGAGGUGGUGCUGGUUUGUCGUCUGCUCGUGUCGUGCGAUGUUUGGUUAAUUCCCGCUACGAGCUCACCUCUUUAGUUUAGUUGCCAUCAUUAAGUUGGUCACUCUCAGUUGACUGCCUGUUACAAUCUGGAGGAAGGUGGGGAUGACGUCAAAUCACCAUGCCCCUUAUGCUUUGGGCUUCAUUCGUGCUACACUGGAUAUUACAAAGGGCAGCGAAACCG
rnacentral:rRNA from 1 species